rnacentral:rRNA from 1 species
ACGAACGCUGGCGGCGUGCUUAACACAUGCAAGUCGAGCGGUAAGGCUCCUUCGGGAGUACACGAGCGGCGAACGGGUGAGUAACACGUGAGCAAUCUGCCCUUCACUUUGGGAUAACUACCGGAAACGGUGGCUAAUACCGAAUACGACGACCCCGGGCAUCUGGUGGUUGCGGAAAGUUCUGGCGGUGAAGGAUGAGCUCGCGGCCUAUCAGCUUGUUGGUGAGGUAAUGGCUCACCAAGGCUUCGACGGGUAGCCGGCCUGAGAGGGUGACCGGCCACACUGGGACUGAGACACGGCCCAGACUCCUACGGGAGGCAGCAGUGGGGAAUAUUGGACAAUGGGCGAAAGCCUGAUCCAGCAACGCCGCGUGCGGGAUGACGGCCUUCGGGUUGUAAACCUCUUUCAGCAGGGACGAAGCGCAAGUGACGGUACCUGCAGAAGAAGCACCGGCCAACUACGU